UUGAACGCUGGUGGCAUGCUUAACACAUGCAAGUCGAACGGUAGCAGACCUAGCUUGCUAGGUGCUGACGAGUGGCGGACGGGUGAGUAACGCGUAGGAAUCUGCCUUGCAGUGGGGGAUAACAUUAGGAAACUGAUGCUAAUACCGCAUACGCCCUUAGGGGGAAAGAUUUAUUGCUGCAAGAUGAGCCUGCGUCAGAUUAGCUAGUUGGUGGGGUAAAGGCCUACCAAGGCGAAGAUCUGUAGCUGUUCUGAGAGGAAGAUCAGCCACACUGGGACUGAGACACGGCCCAGACUCCUACGGGAGGCAGCAGUGGGGGAUAUUGGACAAUGGGGGCAACCCUGAUCCAGCAAUGCCACGUGUGUGAAGAAGGCCUGCGGGUUGUAAAGCACUUUCAGAAGGGAAGAAGGACGCGAAAGCGUAUUGACAUUACUUUCAGAAGAAGCACCGGCUAACUCUGU
rnacentral:rRNA from 1 species